rnacentral:rRNA from 1 species
UACGUAGGGGGCAAGCGUUGUCCGGAUUUAUUGGGCGUAAAGAGCGUGUAGGCGGCUUGGUAGGUCCGCUGUGAAAACUCGAGGCUUAACCUCGAGAUGUCGGCGGAAACCACUUGGCUAGAGUCCGGAAGAGGAGAGUGGAAUUCCCGGUGUAGCGGUGAAAUGCGCAGAUAUCGGGAAGAACACCUAUGGCGAAGGCAGCUCUCUGGGACGGUACUGACGCUGAGACGCGAAAGCGUGGGGAGCGAACAGG